GAUGAAGAACGUAGCGAAAUGCGAUAAGUAGUGUGAAUUGCAGAAUUCAGUGAAUCAUCGAAUCUUUGAACGCACAUUGCGCCCUUUGGUAUUCCUUAGGGCAUGCCUGUUCGAGCGUCAUUUAAACCUUCAAGCUCAGCUUGGUGUUGGGUGACUGUCCGCUUCACCGCGGACUCGCCUCAAAAUUAUUGGCGGCCGGUACAUUGGCUUCGAGCGCAGCAGAAACGCGAACUCGGGCCCGUCGUAUUGGCUCCCAGAAGCUAUCUUCACAAUUUUGACCUCGGAUCAGGUAGGGAUACCCGCUGAACUUAAGCAUAUCAAUAACGGAGGA
rnacentral:misc_RNA from 1 species